AAUGGUCACAGAAAUACGAAAGCAUAUUCCUCUCCGUGCCUUUGAGCAAGUGAGACGUGCUAUAGCCCUCGAACAAAGGAUAAAUGUCUUCGCCAUGCCAACGGUUCACAGGACCGAUAAUAGGAUUGAGGGGGCAAGAAUCGAAGUACGACGACUUGGAGGAGAACCGUUAGUAAACCAUCCACGGCAGCAAUCCAUUGAUAUCGAGAUGAGAACUGAUAUUUUGAAUAACACACCAUAGUUACAGAACGCACUCAACAAUCUCUGAAGGCAUACAGUACUUGUAUAACAAUGCCAACUGUAAAACGAAAUGAAAGAGAUCGAGAAAGGCCAACACUAUUGAGAAGCACAAUAAAUGUAAAGGAUUGUUAUUAACAAA